rnacentral:rRNA from 1 species
AGCGAACGCUGGCGGCAGGCUUAACACAUGCAAGUCGAGCGGGCACUUUCGGGUGUCAGCGGAGGACGGGUGCGUAACGCGUGGGAACGUGCCCUCUGGUUCGGAAUCACUCAGGGAAACUUGAGCUAAUACCGGAUACGCCCUUUUGGGGAAAGGCUUGCUGCCGGAGGAUCGGCCCGCGUCUGCUGAGCGAGUUGGUGUGGUAACGGCUCACCAAGGCGACGAUCAGUAGCUGGUCUGUGAGGAGGAUCAGUCACACUGGGACUGAGACACGGCCCAGACUCCUAGGAGAGGCAGCAGAUGGGGAUAUUGGGCAACGGGCCCGAUGCUGAUCCAGCCAGGCCGCGUGAGUGAUGAAGGCCUUAGGGUUGUAAAGCGCUUUUAUCCGGGACGAUAAUGACGGUACCGGAGGAAUAAGCCCCGGCUAACUACGUG